CCACAAUGGGCGCAAGCCUGAUGGAGCAACACCGCGUGAGUGAAGAAGGGUUUCGGCUCGUAAAGCUCUGUUGUUAAAGAAGAACACGUAUGAGAGUAACUGUUCAUACGCUGACGGUAUUUAACCAGAAAGUCACGGCUAACUACGUGCCAGCAGCCGCGGUAAUACGUAGGUGGCAAGCGUUAUCCGGAUUUAUUGGGCGUAAAGAGAGUGCAGGCGGUUUUCUAAGUCUGAUGUGAAAGCCUUCGGCUUAACCGGAGAAGUGCAUCGGAAACUGGAUAACUUGAGUGCAGAAGAGGGUAGUGGAACUCCAUGUGUAGCGGUGGAAUGCGUAGAUAUAUGGAAGAACACCAGUGGCGAAGGCGGCUACCUGGUCUGCAACUGACGCUGAGACUCGAAAGCAUGGGUAGCGAACAGGAUUAGAUACCCUGGUAG
rnacentral:rRNA from 1 species